ensembl:snoRNA small nucleolar RNA SNORA52
AAGUCCAUCCUCACCCGUGCUGGGCAGCCCGUGGUCCAGCAGGUCUCCCUCGUGGAUCGGAGCUCUCUAGAAGCCUCACCCAGAGGCGUGAGCAAGGCCUCAGGGGGCUUGUGGACAGGAGCUUCUAGACACUC